CCUACGGGUGACAGCAGUGAGGAAUAUUGGUCAAUGGGCGCGAGCCUGAACCAGCCAAGUAGCGUGAAGGAUGACUGCCCUACGGGUUGUAAACUUCUUUUAUAAAGGAAUAAAGUGAGGCACGUGUGCCGUUUUGUAUGUACCUUAUGAAUAAGGAUCGGCUAACUCCGUGCCAGCAGCCGCGGUAAUACGGAGGAGCCGAGCGUUAUCCGGAUUUAUUGGGUUUAAAGGGAGCGUAGAUGGGUUGUUAAGUCAGUUGUGAAAGUUUGCGGCUCAACCGUAAAAUUGCAAUUGAUACUGGCAGUCUUGCGUCCAGUUGAGGUAGGCGGAAUUCGUGGUGUAGCGGUUAAAUGCUUAGAUCUCACG
rnacentral:rRNA from 1 species